UGAGGAAUAUUGGUCAAUGGGCGGGAGCCUGAACCAGCCAAGUCGCGUGAAGGAAGAAGGAUCUAUGGUUCGUAAACUUCUUUUGCAGGGGAAUAAAGUGCAGGACGUGUCCUGUUUUGUAUGUACCCUGAGAAUAAGGAUCGGCUAACUCUGUGCCAGCAGCCGCGGUAAUACGGAGGAUCCGAGCGUUAUCCGGAUUUAUUGGGUUUAAAGGGUGCGUAGGUGGUUUGAUAAGUCAGCGGUGAAAGUUUGCAGCUUAACUGUAAAAAUGCCGUUGAAACUGUCGGACUUGAGUGUAAAUGAGGUAGGCGGAAUGCGUGGUGUAGCGGUGAAAUGCAUAGAUAUCACGCAGAACUCCGAUUGCGAAGGCAGCUUACUAAGCUACAACUGACACUGAAGCACGAAAGCGUGGGGAUCAAACA
rnacentral:rRNA from 1 species